CCUACGGGAGGCUGCAGUGAGGAAUUUUGCGCAAUGGCCGCAAGGCUGACGCAGCAACGCCGCGUGGGUGAAGAAGGCCUUCGGGUCGUAAAGCCCUGUCAGGUGGGAAGAAAGGUUUCGUCAAGAAACGGAUGGAAUUUGACGGUACCACCAGAGGAAGCACCGGCUAACUCCGUGCCAGCAGCCGCGGUAAUACGGAGGGUGCGAGCGUUAUUCGGAAUUAUUGGGCGUAAAGCGCGAGUAGGCGGGGAUGCAAGUCUGAUGUGAAAGCCCUGGGCUUAACCUGGGAAGUGCAUUGGAAACUGCAUUUCUUGAGUACUGGAGAGGAAGGGGGAAUUCCCGGUGUAGAGGUGAAAUUCGUAGAGAUCGGGAGGAAUACCAGUGGCGUAGGCGCCUUUCUGGACGGUUACUGACGCUGAGACGCGAAAGCGUGGGGAGCAAACAGGAUUAGAUACCCCAGUAGUC
rnacentral:rRNA from 1 species